UAUUUCAUCUUGGAGGUGGGAACUAACAUUCCUGUACUUUAGAAGGUAAAAGAAAGAGAAAAGGGUUGGAUUGGAGAAAAUAUUCACUAGUUAUAGCUUUUAACUUCUUUUUUUAAAAAAAUAAAAGUCUGAAUAAUUGUAAAUGGGAUCAUGAACUAAAAUUCAUUAUCAGGAAGUGCAUUCUAUUUCUGAUCGAAUUCCAACUGUCAAGCCUAAUAAUGGUUUUCAACUACCAAAAACAUCUGAUCUAGUGAUAGAAUUUUUUUUACAAUCUGAAAUAAUUCAGCCAUGUAUUUAUUUAUUCUUUCUCCCUAACACAAUAUAGGCUUCAUGAGGGUAUGGGAUUGAUCACUCUUAAUCCCCUAGAGCAGUGUAUGGCACAUUGUGCUUCCCAAUAAAUUAAUAAAUGAAUGAAUAGUGGUGGUCUUCCAGAUCUUGUGUGUUACUCAUAAUAUUUAUUACAAUGUUUGUUACUUAUGAAGAAAAAUAUUCUGUCAAAAUGCAAACAAAAUGCUUUUACCUCUCAUUUAUGCUUCUUCCUUAGUGUUAUGUCAUAUGAAAUUAAGAGUCUCUCUAAUCAUCUAACCUGUCUCAUUCACCAAUUAAGAAAAAAUGUAUUCUACCAUAAGGCAGAAGAAGCUUUUUGCUAAGUCAUUGAAUUUCUCUGGUUGUUAAAAGUUUUCUACAAUGACAUUACUUUUUCUCAGUGGCUGAACUGGAACUUAUACUUGUGUAGUCUGAGGAAUCUUAUUAGGUUAAACAAAUAUAUGGAAAAUAAUAAAGAUGUCUACAAGCAGGUCCCUGAGGGUAACCAUUUUUUAAAAAUAAUUUAUCCACUAGUUGAGGGCAUGAAAAUAGGUUAUAGGACAAUUACUUAAAUUGAAACUUUGUCUCCUAAUAAACCGCCAAACAUUUUGCCAUAAAAGGCUGACUUGAUGAAGUUGAAACAUUCAUUAGUGAGUGUUUAAGUCUAUUCUACAUAAUACGAUUUAGAUAACAGUAAAAUAUUCGUAUCAAAUUGGCCCAUUAGAGGAAAUUCUCUUGCCUGGUGUCCUCUGAUACAAGUUUAAUGCUGACCAACAAAAAUGACCUGUAAGUUUUCUGUGGGCAAGUCUCUGUACCUUAUUUCUCAAGCCAUGGCUCACACUGAAUUAUUUACAGCUAAGCAUCUUUUUCCUUUGUUUUGCUUCUUGUUAAGUAUGGAUUAAGAUCUAGAUAGUUGAUUUUGAAGUUAUAAAAUGUUAAAUAGAAAUUUUAAAUACUAAGCAAGUUCAACCUGCUCUACAUCAGCUCUAAUUCCAGACUUGAACUUAAAAAGUUGUAUUACAAGAAACAUUACCUACUUAUAUUUUCAAAAUCAUUAACUUUUGCUUCCUUGGAUUUUUAAACUUUGCUCAUAUUUAGCCAAAAAAAGAGAGAGAUGCACUUAAGGAACAUUUGCAAGUGCCAUUUUGACCAAUCUUUUCACUAACCUAAGUGGGUUUUUUUAAGUCUUGCCUUCCAUUUUCUUGUAACGCCUGACUCCACCUUAUUUAUUUACUAUAGUAAUCAACUAAAAGGCUUAGAACAACGAUCGAUUUUUAAAUAAAUCAAAUAGUAUGGUAAAUAGAUUCCAUAUUUCCCCAGAUCCCAUUGCAUUUAAUCUUUUUUUAUUCUUCUUGAGAAAAAAAAUAGAAAUAUAUGUAGUAUUAAUUUGGGUUACUUUUUACAAGUUAAUUUUAAUCUCACCCAGAUAUGUAUUAAAAAUAUCCCAUCUUUCCUUCUAUCAGAAGUAAGGUCCUUCCUUCUCAUUCACAGUUAAAUCUAACACAUACUCCUUGAAAGUAGGAGUAAAAAGGAGGGGCAGGAAUUUCAGACAUAUUAGGAAUAUUGAUUAACUGUAUUCGUUUUGGGUAUGGCAAUUCACUGAGUGAACAGAGCACUGUUGGGUGAAUGGUAGCAGAAGCAUAUUGUUCAAGCUAAAGCCCUUUCAAGGACAGAUGCCAAGGUGAGCAAUACUCCUGGUUUCUCAGCAACGGAAAAGGAUUUGUGAAUGAUUGUGAAAGAUUUGCACCACCUCCUAGCUGCGCUUAGGGGCUGCUCUGAAAACAGCUAAGCAGAGCUUUGGAAAUUCAUGUCACAUCCUGUAGCCCUGGGUAAGAAGUGUUGAAAUACAAACACACACACACACACACACCAUCACCACCACCACCACUACCACCACCACCACCAUCACCAGCACCACCACCACCACCAUCACCACCACCACCAGAAAAACCCUGCGGAGAAGCUAUCAGGCAGGCGGGCUUGCCUGGGACGGCACAGUCAGCAUCCUUCCUCAGCCCAAGCGAGAGGCUCACCUCCACCUCCAAGCUAGAGCUCCCAGAAAAUACUCUCUGGAUAUUCUCCGUGCUGCAACAGCCUGUAUGAAGUGCCCAACCCCUGCAGUCUCAGACAACUUUUGAAAGUUAUAAACCUGUAAUAAAUAAGGUUUACAGGUUUGCCCUGGUCAAAAAUCGGAGAGAUGCAAAGCUGAGCCAAUUGAGGAAGCCAAGGAUUUUCCUACUUUAUUUAUAUCUCAAGUGAAAAAGUUUCUGACAAUAAAUUGGGUUAUCUUUGAUAUUAACACUAGCUAACACAUUUUAAUGAGGGCUUACUACAUUUUGUGAAUCAUCCUAAUUUAUCCUCAAAACAAUCCUUGAAACAGACACUACUAGUAUAUACAUUUUACUGAGACACUGCAACACUCAUUAUGUUACUAGCCUUAAGUAUUGAAAUUGGAAACCCAAUCCAAAACAUCUGGUCCCAAAUCCUUUCUUUUAAAACAUGUCUGCCUCUCAUAUAGAGAUUGCUUAUGUUGAGAAGUAUGAAGCCAUACACAGAUGGUGGUAGCUAUGAUAAUCCUUUAAUAAUUAAUUUUUAGUCAGAGUCUGCAAAAAUGUAUCUUGUUCAAUUCUAUUAGGAUGCUCUGCUCUUGAAUCUGAAAAUUAGGCUGUUCACUUUUAUUAUUUCCUCAAUUCUACACUAUUCCUCUUCCUCCUUAUCCUUCCACCAAGGCUAUUUGCAGCUGGUCAUUUAUCUUAGCUGCCUUCCAUCUCUUUGUUCUAGUCUCCUAAAGGUUUUUAUCUAUUAUUUGAAUCAUUUAUUCCAAUCUCUUCAUAUGAGCCAUUAACAUAAUGAGAUUUUUAUCUUCACUGAAGACACGACUUUAAAAAAAACCUCAUAAUUAAAUUGCAGUAGAUAUAAUACAAUUAAUAUUUUUUUCCUUUCUAGGGUAAAUUAUACAUAUGUUGUAUUUCGGUAGUCUGCAUUAUAAUCUCUAUUUUUAUACAAUAAAGAAUUUUACUUUUGGUUUUAAAAUUUGAAAAGGAAAAUAGUCACUGUUCUAAUAAUUUCAUGCACUACUAUAAUAGUUGUCAAGAGUAAACAUAAAAAUUUUAGUUACUGUUGCCUUACAAUAACCUUUUAACUUGAUAGUAAUGUUUCACAUUUUCCUUUGCUACGGUCUCUGAUCAAAUACUUGUAAAUUUUCUGAUGCAGUUUUUCUUGUCAAAACUAUCUUUUAAAGAUUUUUUAGGAAUAUAGAAUUUCUGUCAGAAAUUGAUGUUUGGGAAGUCGCUUUGAUCAGCCCACUAAUGGUGGGCUGAUAACCUUGCCACUGUACCUCCACAGCUAGAUUAGGUGCCCUUGGGUACGGAUUUUAUCUAGAACACACUACAGUUUUUCCUGACCAUUUGGACAGUGCUAACUAACCCCUGUAACAGCCUGCCCUAUACUUUCUGGGCACUGAUAUUAGAAGGUGGGGAAACAGAAGUCAGAAAAUUAUUCAUCAUGAGUAAAGGAAAAAUACAUUUUUUUUUCCUCUGACAAGGAGAUAAGACUGAGAAAGAAAGAAACAAGAAUUGAAGAGAGAGCAACCAAAAAGAAAGAAAAAAAGGAGCUAGAAAGACCAGUAAUUUGUGUGAACCAGCAGUAACAAGAUAGAAAAUAGAACAGAAAAACAUCCCUUUCAUUAUCCACAAAGCAAAAACUACACAAAAAUUAACAUAAUAAAACAGUGUACUAGCUAAGGCUCUCCUAACAAAACAUUCAAACUAUAA